GGGUGACGAGUGGCGGACGGGUGAGUAAUGUCUGGGGAUCUGCCCGAUAGAGGGGGAUAACCACUGGAAACGGUGGCUAAUACCGCAUAACGUCGCAAGACCAAAGAGGGGGACCUUCGGGCCUCUCACUAUCGGAUGAACCCAGAUGGGAUUAGCUAGUAGGCGGGGUAAUGGCCCACCUAGGCGACGAUCCCUAGCUGGUCUGAGAGGAUGACCAGCCACACUGGAACUGAGACACGGUCCAGACUCCUACGGGAGGCAGCAGUGGGGAAUAUUGCACAAUGGGCGCAAGCCUGAUGCAGCCAUGCCGCGUGUAUGAAGAAGGCCUUCGGGUUGUAAAGUACUUUCACCGGGGAGGAAGGCGGUGAGGUUAAUAACCUUACCGAUUGACGUUACCCGCAGAAGAAGCACCGGCUAACUCCGUGCCAGCAGCCGCGGUAAUACGGAGGGUGCAAGCGUUAAUCGGAAUUACUGGGCGUAAAGCGCACGCAGGCGGUCUGUUAAGUCAGAUGUGAAAUCCCCGGGCUUAACCUG
rnacentral:rRNA from 1 species